rnacentral:rRNA from 1 species
AUGGCGCCGCCCCCGACCACUAGCGCCCCCGACGGCGGCCUGGAUCCCAGGGACGUGUGCGUCGUCGGCGUCGCCCGCACGCCCAUCGGCGCCCUGCUCGGCUCCCUCUCCUCCCUCCCCGCCACCAGGCUCGGCUCCGUCGCCAUCCAGGGCGCUCUCCGGCGAGCCAGCGUCGACCCGGCGCUGGUGCAGGAGGUGUUCAUGGGCAACGUCCUCAGCGCCAACCUCGGCCAGGCCCCCGCCAGGCAGGCCGCCCUCGGCGCCGGCCUGCCCAACACCGUCCCCUGCACCACCGUCAACAAAGUCUGCUCCUCAGGGAUGAAGGCUGUCAUGCUUGCGGCACAGUCGAUUCAGCUGGGGAUCAACGACGUCGUGGUCGCCGGCGGCAUGGAGAGCAUGUCCAAUGCCCCCAAAUACGCUGCAACGGCAAGACGAGGAUCGCGGUUUGGGCAUGACGUCCUCAUCGACGGGAUGCUCAAGGAUGGGCUGUGGGAUGUGUAUAAUGAUUUCCAUAUGGGGAUGUGCGCUGAGCUCUGUGCAGAUCAGCACUCGAUUACAAGGGAGGAGCAGGAUGCUUAUGCUGUCCAGAGCAAUGAGCACGGAAUAGCAGCUCGAGACAGCGGCGCGUUUGAUUGGGAAAUUGUUCCGGUUGAAAUUCCUUCUGGUAGAGGCAGACCGCCAGUUGUUGUUGACAAAGAUGAGAGUCUUGCAAAGUACGAUCCAGUGAAGCUGAAGAAACUUGGGCCGGCUUUUAAGAAGAAUGGCUCUGUAACUGCCGGCAAUUCUUCUAGUAUAAGCGACGGUGCUGCUGCAAUUGUGCUAGUCAGUGGGGAGAAAGCCAAGAACCUUGGCCUUCAAGUUCUUGCAAGGAUCAGAGGGUACGCUGAUGCUGCUCAGGCACCUGAGCUAUUUACAACAACUCCAGCUCUUGCUAUCCCAAAGGCUAUAUCAAACUCAGGUCUCCGAGAUUCACAAAUAGAUUAUUAUGAGAUAAAUGAGGCUUUCUCGGUUGUUGCAGUGGCAAAUCAGAGACUUCUUGGCAUCUCUCCUGGAAAACUGAAUAUAAGUGGUGGCGCUGUUUCCCUGGGCCAUCCUAUCGGUUGCAGUGGUGCACGAAUCAUAGUCACCUUGCUCGGGAUUCUUAGACAGAAACAGGGCAAGUUUGGGGUUGCCGGAGUAUGCAACGGCGGGGGUGGUGCUUCAGCCAUCGUCGUAGAGUCCAUGCAAGCUUCGUCGCGCCUGCGAUCCUCGCUGUGA